UAACCAGCCUCCCUGCCUCCAAGCCAUCUUCCAGAACAAUGCUUCCAGGGCACCCAUUUGGUUCUGCCACUCACUCCUCUGCUUACAUUUUUUCAAGGGCUUCUUCCCACAGCCCUAGUAGGGAACCCGAGGUCCUCAGCAAAGCAGACAGGGCCUUGCUAGCUCCCCAGCUUCUCCUGCCCCUCCGGCAUGCUGGCUCCACUCCCGCACCCUCGCCAUCAAGCCUCUACCUUUUGCACAUGCUGUCCUUCCUUCCUGCCUCCCAACCCCAACCUUACAGGUCUCUGUUUAUCUAGGAGUCUCUCUAGGAGUCUUCGUCGGCCUCUGCUGCACCCUGGACACGCCUUCUGUCUACCACUGCAUUUGUCUCCUGGGUCAUGACAUUUCCCUGACUAUCUCCCCCAAGCCACGCGCUCCUUCAGGACAGAGGCGGUUCUUUUAAUCUCUGCAUCCCUGACCUAUAUAUGAAUUCAAGAAACAUUCGCAGGAUGAAUGAGUGAGUCACAGACCAGCUGAGUGAAUGACGGGGCCUGGAGCCCCUGCUCAGCUGGGGAAGGAGCCCAGUGAAGCCCUGUCCCUCUGGAGACUCUGCACGGUGGGCCAGGAUUGCUGGGCCUGCUUUGCCAAGAUAAUGAGGAGCUGAGCCCGAGACCUGGACACAGCCGUCAGGGAAACAAGCCCAUGGAUUCCACACCUGGACAGCAGGCAGUGUGGCAUGCACAGGCUUCCCUCCUCCUUUGGCUGUGUAUGCAGGCGUGUGAGAGAUGAGAACUGGGCAAACCCCCGCCGAUUAGCCUGCUUCCAGCCGAGCCUGCCUGGACCUGCUCAAGCGCCGCUGAUGGGCAAGCAAUCACGAGUGGGAGCUUCUGCUCGACGCCCCCUCUUUCCUGUGUGUUUCUGUGGGGGCUGGGGCAUGUACUUCACAGGGCUGGGUAAACUCUGACAUGGACACGGCCCUUUGAGCUCAGAAUGCCUUCUGUCACUAUUCGAUAAAGCCUGGCUGAGUACAUUGCUGUUGGAACGUGUCUUCUAAGCACGCUCGUUCCCUUGCCCGGAGGGUGGCAGAGGGAGGCCUUUCUGUCUCCUUUGACCAUUUCUGCACCUCUGGUGGCUCCAAAGGAGCCCGGCGCAGAGCGCGCUCCUCGAACGAGUGACUUCGGAGAAGAAACAGAGGCCGGUCAAGACGCGGUGAUUGGCUAAAGGCCACGCGGGCCUGGCUCCGGGCCAAUCAGGAAGCUGCUGGCGCUCGAGCAAGGGUUUCUGGGAAAUGGCCAAUACGUCAGGGGCCUCGAGCCCUGCCCUGGCUGCUGCUUCUGCUGAGGUCCCGGGACCCUGAGGAGCCCCUGGGCAGGAACUCUCCGAUCAUCUGCCGGCUGAGGCCCUUACGCUGGAGCAGGAAGUGGGCCACUCCGAUGGGGGUGUCAGGGAUGAAGCCGCGUGAGAUCAGGAACUGGAUGCCCUUGUCCGGGUUUCUGGAGGUGGAGCGG